UUCUGACACGCUGGACCCUGCUCUUCUACGUCCUGGACGUCUUGACCGUAAGGUUGAGUUUGGUUUGCCUGAUCUGGAGAGCAGAACACAGAUCUUCAAGAUUCACACAAGAACCAUGAACUGCGAGAGAGACAUCCGUUUUGAGCUCCUUGCUCGCCUCUGCCCAAACUCAACUGGAGCUGAUAUCAGGAGUGUGUGCACUGAAGCUGGAAUGUAUGCAAUCAGAGCUAGGAGAAAGACGGUGAC